UCGAGCGAAGCACUUUGGAAAGAUUCUUCGGAUGAUUUCCUUUGUGACUGAGCGGCGGACGGGUGAGUAACGCGUGGGUAACCUGCCUCAUACAGGGGGAUAACAGUUAGAAAUGACUGCUAAUACCGCAUAAGACCACGGUACCGCAUGGUACAGUGGUAAAAACUCCGGUGGUAUGAGAUGGACCCGCGUCUGAUUAGGUAGUUGGUGGGGUAACGGCCUACCAAGCCGACGAUCAGUAGCCGACCUGAGAGGGUGACCGGCCACAUUGGGACUGAGACACGGCCCAGACUCCUACGGGAGGCAGCAGUGGGGAAUAUUGCACAAUGGAGGAAACUCUGAUGCAGCGACGCCGCGUGAAGGAUGAAGUAUUUCGGUAUGUAAACUUCUAUCAGCAGGGAAGAAAAUGACGGUACCUGACUAAGAAGCCCCGGCUAACUACGUGCCAGCAGCCGCGGUAAUACGUAGGGGGCAAGCGUUAUCCGGAUUUACUGGGUGUAAAGGGAGCGUAGACGGCACGGCAAGCCAGAUGUGAAAGCCCGGGGCUCAACCCCGGGACUGCAUUUGGAACUGCUGAGCUAGAGUGUCGGAGAGGCAAGUGGAAUUCCUAGUGUAGCGGUGAAAUGCGUAGAUAUUAGGAGGAACACCAGUGGCGAAGGCGGCUUGCUGGACGAUGACUGACGUUGAGGCUCGAAAGCGUGNGGAGCAAACAGGAUUAGAUACCCUGGUANUCCACGCCGUAAACGAUGACUGCUAGGUGUCGGGUGGCAAAGCCAUUCGGUGCCGCAGCU
rnacentral:rRNA from 1 species